UCCCUGGUGGCUCAGAGGUUAAAGCGUCUGCCUGCAAUGCGGGAGACCUGGGUUCGAUCCCUUGGUUGGGAA
rnacentral:tRNA from 1 species